ACAUGCUAGAAAAUGGGACAAAUUACAGUUUGGACCAAUUGGUAUUUUCUUAUCAAAAUAUUAAAAGUGGUAAUCAAGAUUAAGGGCCAAGUUACAUGUACUACGUUAAUUACAGACAUUAAGAACUGUCAGGCCUUAGAGGACUAAGGACCUAAUUUCAUACAACUUCAGAGGCUGUAUACUCAUUUUAUGCUGAGUAAAAGCAAUAGGAUGCUAAAUCUUUAAAACUAACUCUCAAAUUUUACAGAAUAUGUGUUGUAAAGAUGAUUCAUAUAAAAAAAAACUAAAGGAGAAUUUACCAUAUCAGACAAACAACUGGAAAGGUUUGUAGAUCAAUGGAGAAAAGAUUAAGAAAAUCAAAGAAGAUAUAAGGAUCCUUUAAUAAAUAAAGACAAUUAACUAACUUCAGCCAGCAUGUAAGUGAGCAAAAUUCUCAUUCAAACUAUCAUUGAGUUGCACCUGCUUCUACCUGGACUUAGUUGGAUCCUUCAUCAAAAGAAAUAUGUGUGUGGGGGAAGAGAUAUGUUUCCGAACAUAAAUGUAAAUGGAUUGGAACACAGCUUCAUUUCAGAUUGUAAGUAAUAAUUGCCUAGCAACACUGCAGGAACUUCAUUAGAUGCCAUGCUUAAUAAAAAGUGGGGAGCACCAGGGACCUGCACAACAAGAGGAUUAUGAUAUUUAAUCAGCCCAAAGUUGUAGUCAUAAAGCUUCAUUAGGUAACACUUUCAAAACCUGAAAUCAGGGGGGAUGAUCUGAAACAGGAGUAAGUGAACUAUUCACAAAUAGCAAGUCAAGUUAUGCAAUUAAUCUCACCCUUUUUUCUGUUCAUGACCAGCUUUAUCUAUCUAUCUAUCUAUCUAUCUAUCUA